CCUGCGCAUGCGGGAGACAUUAGCUUUGGCCCCUAACAUCCUUUGGCGUCCCCCUCGAGGCCUGACCCUGCGCGCCUCUGUUCCUCCUGCACCCAUGUUCUGCGCCGCACCCCGGUCUCCGCCCCAUCCUGGUCCCCUCCACGCCUCGGCGGGCAGCAGCAUGGGCUGCGUGCGGGACGCGAGCUGAGUGGCGGCGGGCCUGGUGCUCGGCGCCGGCGCCGGCGCCGGCGCCUGCUACUGCACCUACUGGCUGACGCGGGGCCUGCAGCGAGGCUGCCGGGGGCGUCGGCUGCGCUCCUCGCGGUCUGCAGAGACUUAACCAAUGCUUCCUAAAACGAUGUCCUAAGUGCUGAGCCACUUAAAAACCUCCUUUACCUGCUUAAGUCAACUGAGGAUCCUGUACUCAUUGAAAGAGCCUUAGGUGCUCUGGGUCACAAUGCAGCCUUUCGGCUAACCAAAACCUGAAACAAAUACCUUUGCUCCUUGCUGAAAAAAAUCCAGUAUCCAGGAACUUUUACAUGUUUCCAUGGGAACCAAUGCCUGGUGAGCAUGCAGGUCUGAUCAAGAUACAUACCCUAGAAAUGCCCGUGCCAGCCCCCACCUACCUUCUACAAGGCUCACCUUUAAAAGACAGCGAUAACACUUUCUGCAAUAGCUAUACAGGCUCAUGUUGCCCAAGGUGUUUUGGUUUUCUUGCUUCUCUUGAAAAAAGUGAAUAAACGUUUACUUCCUUUGCUUUGC